UAGUCGCAAGGCUUAAGAGGUUAGGGGUAGAAAAAAAAUCGUAUAAAAGGAGAGAGAAAAGGCGUUUGAAAUCAGUUGAGUGAGUAUCUCCGACACGGCAACUGCUGUGUCCUAUUCGUCACUAAAUGCAUUCUUCAUUCUAAAAUCAUUUCGCAAUAAGAGAAAAAAGGCCAAAGAAAUCAGUCGAGUGAUCAUCACCGACAUGGCAAUAGCAACUGCAGUGCACUAUUUGUCAUCAAUUGAUUCUUCACCGUGUAAUCAGUUCGUAAUCAUGAUUAAUUAUGGCGUUGUGCUGCUGUUGGGUCGACCGCGAGUGUACCGAUGUCUCCUGGAUACGGUGGCCCCGAGUUCACCAAGGCGCCUGAGUACUACAUUGAGGCUCCCAAGUACUACACCAUCAAAGCUCCAGAGUAUUACACUGCAAUCUACGCUGCCCCAGCUUACACCACCAAGGGACCGGAGUACUGCACCACAACCUCCGCUGCCCCAGUUCACUACACCGCCCCGAGACACAACCACAUCUGAGGCAGCCAGUAUUACUGCACAGCGGCUGCUUCUUAGUAACAACCUACGUUACACCUAGAUGCUACACCGAAGCCUCCAAGUACUGCACCGGCAAGGCCGAAUAUUACAUAACCACGUUUGCUGCCCCAGCUACCCUGCUACACCGAGAAACCCAAGUAUUUCUCUGCUCCAAGCAACUAUCGAACAGAGGCUCCUGUUGACUACACCACCCAUGCCCCGGGGUUUUACAGUACAACCUACGCUGCCCCAUCUACACCACCAAGGCUCCAAAGUACUACACAACCAAGGCACCCCAGCUUCUACUUAGGCUGCUCCGACUUUCUGCACCGAAGCUGCGAAAUAUUCCACUGCCCCGAGAUACUACACCAUCAAGGCUGUUACAAUGUUGCAUCACAACCUACGCUUCUCCAGUUUACUACAUAAUGGUGAAGCCAGAAAUGGAAACAGUUAAUUUAUAGUCUAGUGCUGUUGUUUGGUGUAUUGUUGAUGGUCGAGUCGUCCACUGGUGUACCGGUGUCCCCUGGGUGUGGCAGAUACCAAACCGCAAUGCUACCGUCUUACUACACAACAAACAUACGCAAACAGUUACUACACCUAAAAGGCCGUAUGUUACACAAGGACGUAUGCUACACCGGUUUACUACACCGAGGAAUUCAAGUAUUACUCUUCCCCGAACAAAUACCAAACAGAGGCUCCUGUUUACUACACUUACCAUCGCCCUCGAGUGUUACACUACAAUCUACGCUGCCCCAACUACUACACUGUAGCUCCGAAGUGCUACACAUCAAUGCACAACCAAUUCGCAAUUGUUUAUUUUUACGUCGUGCUGCUCUUGGUUGUUCUAUCGUUGCUAACGUGUUGACCACUGUACCGAACUCCACCGACUUUGGUAUUAACGACAAGUGAUGUAUGUCAAUAGGUGCAAUAGCCGUAAAGUUUAAAAUGUGAAACAGGAAGAGAAAAAAUUGGAUAAAAGAAGAGAGAAAAGGCGAUUUAUCAAUUGAAUGAGCAUCUCCUACCCGGCAGCAAUUGCAUUCUUCCAAUACUCAAUUAAAGGAGUACUACACCACCAAGGCAGCGGAUUACUACACCACCAAGGCACCUGAAUGUUGCUUCACAACCUUCGCUUCUCCAGUUUACUACAGGGAGGCUCUUAAAUACCAGAGCCGAAAUUUCUGAUUUAUUUAUUUGUUUUUAGAUUUGUCGGUCAUAUCUCAAUAGUAACUAGUGACUGGGAAUCGUUGUUGAUCUUAAAUGAGAAAAUAAAUUUUUUAAUGGUAA
rnacentral:lncRNA from 1 species